AACGUAGGGGGCGAGCGUUGCCCGGAUUCACUGGGCGUAAAGCGGGUGUAGGCGGUUCUCUAAGUCGGGAUGUGAAAUCCUGCGGCUCAACCGCGGAACUGCAUCCGAUACUGGGGAACUUGAGGACGGUAGAGGUCGGUGGAAUUCCAGGUGUACCGGUGAAAUGGGCAGAUAUCUGGAGGAACACCAGUGGCGAAGGCGGCCGACUGGGCCGAUCCUGACGCUGAGACCCGAAAGCCAGGGUAGACGAA
rnacentral:rRNA from 1 species